UACGUAGGGUGCGAGCGUUGUCCGGAAUUACUGGGCGUAAAGAGCUCGUAGGUGGUUUGUCGCGUUGUUCGUGAAAACCGGGGGCUUAACUCUCGCGUGCGGGGCGAUACGGGCAGACUGGAGUACUGCAGGGGAGACUGGAAUUCCUGGUGUAGCGGUGGAAUGCGCAGAUAUCAGGAGGAACACCGGUGGCGAAGGCGGCACUCUGGGCUGGUACUGACGCUGAGGAGCGAAAGCGUGGGUAGGCAAACAGG
rnacentral:rRNA from 1 species